GGCUUUAAAUGCUAGCAAACAUGCAAUUUUCAUGUGCUCAAGCUUUGGCUCUGACUGAUAUCUUAAUCUAAGACAGUGCGGUGGACACCUUCGUUUGUUUGAACUUUCGUGAAUGCUUGCUUUUGUACGUAAUAAACUUAUUGGCAUUAAUUGCAUUUUGGGACUUAAGUUUACUACAAAUGAAGUAUUCCUUUUUUACGCUGAACACGCUUUUGACCAAAUGAGGUAACAAGUUGACUGCGAUAGUUAAAUAACAAAACUGGAAUCAAUUACAAAGGCCGCUGUAAGCAAUGUUGUCGUGCUACAAGCAAAGACAAAUAAAAGUUCUACACGGGAACGACUAGAAGAAGGAAUUUUCAUUAUAAAACAGGAAACCGUUAAACUCAGGUGUAAGGUCAAUGGGUACUAAGUCAGCCAUAUAGUAUAUUUACACCUAUUUAUAUGUACUAUUAUUAUUAGUGAACCCAUUAAUUAAGAAAAUCUACAUAGAAAAUAAAUUGCAUUGCAAAUGCAAAUCCUAUUUUUACUUCCGAAGUACAGUCGAACAGUGAUGAUGCCUAUUUGCUCAAGAGCGUCAAAUAAAGCGAUGCAUGAAAGGACAGAGAUUCACUAUCACUGGCAAAUCAAAAACCGCACAAAAUGAAUGGACUCAAUUAAUCAAUACCAAGAAUUUCUUAACAGAAGUGUUUUCAGAGUUGAAUUCUUCCAACAUUUAAGGAGGAGUUAAUACCGAUGAAUAAGUAAAAGACAAAGGUUGCGUUACCUGGUGAACACACCUCAUAUACACAUAAGUACAACAUUACAUUUCAAACUGCACUUUAAAUAUUGUUUGGAGCCGUCGGAACUUGGUCUUUCUUAAUUUCAAAGUGCUACCUAUGAUUUUGUGAUGCCUACACGUGCCGUUAUUCUAUUUAAAGUUCACCGUAUAUGCUCUUUCAUAAGCAGCGCCUUUGCACAUUUAUUUAUUGCUUUUAUUCAUUUGGAGUGUUACAAAUUUGGUCGGCGUUCGUGAACUCUUAAGCAGCUGAUAUAUAUAUUAUAUUGUAUGUUCAUAAGCGUGCAUCGAAUGAUGAAUCAAAUUUCGCUUUUGCAUUGUGAUAUUGUUUUCUCUCUUAUAAUACUCGUAUUACCGUAGUUAGCUGCUUGUCGCCGGUUUUUACAAAGAUUAAUAUUAACGAGCUUUUGAUUAAGCCGAUGAAACCUUAAACUAUUACUGCAUUGUUGUACUACCACAUAAUAUACUGAAUCUUCAUAAUGCAGCACGCCCACAUUGGAAAAUUGAACAUAAAAAGAAAUAGUCGAUUUGCUGUUGACCCGCAGAGGCGCGUUGAUACCAAUGACCCACUAACGCAUUUCUUCUAUUCAACAUUGCAUUCAAAGAGUGUUUAAGGUAAUUAAUUAAAAUGGUAGACAUAAUACAAACAAACAUACAUAUGUAUGUAGAUGCAGAAAUAGCUGCUGAAGUGGCUGAUGUAAAUAUUGCCAUGGCGAUUAGACCGAUGACCCAUAUGGACAUACAUUUGUAUGUAUCCAGAGAAAUCAAACUAGUCAGAUACCAUUCACAACUAGACGUUCCUAACUUAAGUUGAAUCAGGAAAGUUGAAUCAAACAGUCAACAUAUUUACAUUGGAGAAUUAGUAAAUUUUCAAUAAAAA